GAUGAACGCUGACAGAAUGCUUAACACAUGCAAGUCUACUUGAAUUUGGGUUUUUAACUUAGAUUUGGGUGGCGGACGGGUGAGUAACGCGUAAAGAACUUGCCUCACAGCUAGGGACAACAUUUAGAAAUGAAUGCUAAUACCUAAUAUUAUGAUAAUAGGGCAUCCUAUAAUUAUGAAAGCUAUAUGCGCUGUGAGAGAGCUUUGCGUCCCAUUAGCUAGUUGGAGAGGUAACAGCUCACCAAGGCGAUGAUGGGUAGCCGGCCUGAGAGGGUGAUCGGCCACAAGGGGGCUGAGACACGGCCCUUACUCCUACGGGAGGCAGCAGUGGGGAAUAUUGGACAAUGGACCGAGAGUCUGAUCCAGCAAUUCUGUGUGCACGAUGAAGUUUUUCGGAAUGUAAAGUGCUUUCAGUUGGGAAGAAAGAAAUGACGGUACCAACAGAAGAAGUGACGGCUAAAUACGUGCCAGCAGCCGCGGUAAUACGUAUGUCACGAGCGUUAUCCGGAUUUAUUGGGCGUAAAGCGCGUCUAGGUGGUUAUAUAAGUCUGAUGUGAAAAUGCAGGGCUCAACUCUGUAUUGCGUUGGAAACUGUAUAACUAGAGUACUGGAGAGGUAAGCGGAACUACAAGUGUAGAGGUGAAAUUCGUAGAUAUUUGUAGGAAUGCCGAUGGGGAAGCCAGCUUACUGGACAGAUACUGACGCUGAAGCGCGAAAGCGUGGGUAGCAAACAGG
rnacentral:rRNA from 1 species